UCGAGAAUCUUCGGCAAUGGGCGAAAGCCUGACCGAGCAAUGCCGCGUGCGGGAUGAAGGCCCUCGGGUUGUAAACCGUAAAAGUGAGGAGGAAGGGCCCGUGCAGAGCGGGUCUUGACCGAUCCACAGUAAGGACGGGCUAAGUUCGUGCCAGCAGCCGCGGUAACACGAACCGUCCGAACGUUAUUCGGAAUUAUUGGGCUUAAAGGGUGCGUAGGCGGCGCGUUAAGUCGGAUGUGAAAUCCCUCGGCUCAACCGAGGAACUGCGUCCGAUACUGGCGUGCUUGAGGGAGACAGGGGUGAGCGGAACUGAUGGUGGAGCGGUGAAAUGCGUUGAUAUCAUCAGGAACACCGGUGGCGAAAGCGGCUCACUGGGUCUCUUCUGACGCUGAGGCACGAAAGCUAGGGUAGCGAACGGGAUUAGAUACCCCCGUAGUCC
rnacentral:rRNA from 1 species